ACGCAUAGGACGCACAUUAGCAUCCGCUCCUGGCCGGCAGUCCAGCGAGGGAGUUGCUGCUUCACUUCAGUGUAUAAAAGCAUUGAUAUUAAGCGCACGCACAUCCAAAAUUUCGGGGAUUCCCUUUUUCCCUCAAAUUUUUUUCAUUGCAUCUUUUCAAAAUCCUCUCCGCGCCAGAUUCAUCUCUCACAUUUCCAUCUCUCUCUCCGUUGAUCUCAAAACCCUAAUUUUCCCGAGAAAAUAAGAAAAAGAGACUAAAAAUGCCGAGAGAGAUAAUCACGCUGCAAGUAGGACAAUGCGGGAACCAGAUCGGCAUGGAGUUCUGGAAACAGCUUUGCCUCGAACACGGCAUCAACAAAGAUGGCAUUCUCGAAGAUUUCGCUACUCAGGGAGGUGAUAGGAAAGAUGUGUUUUUCUACCAAGCGGAUGAUCAGCACUACAUACCACGAGCAUUACUAAUUGAUUUGGAGCCUAGGGUCAUCAAUGGAAUUCAAAACAGUGAAUAUCGAAAUCUUUACAAUCAUGAGAACAUCUUUGUUUCGGAUCAUGGUGGUGGUGCAGGAAAUAAUUGGGCCAGUGGAUAUCAUCAGGGAAAGGGUGUUGAAGAGGAUAUAAUGGACAUGAUUGAUAGAGAGGCAGAUGGAAGUGAUAGUCUUGAGGGUUUUGUUCUGUGCCAUUCAAUUGCUGGAGGAACAGGCUCAGGUAUGGGCUCGUAUCUGCUGGAGACUUUAAAUGAUCGCUAUAGCAAAAAGCUGGUCCAGACAUACAGUGUAUUUCCUAACCAGAUGGAGACGAGUGAUGUGGUAGUCCAACCCUAUAACUCACUUUUAACACUCAAGAGACUGACUCUAAAUGCAGAUUGUGUUGUUGUUCUGGACAAUACUGCACUGAAUAGAAUUGCUGUUGAGCGCCUACAUUUGUCAACUCCCACAUUUGCUCAAACAAACUCUUUGGUAUCUACUGUUAUGUCUGCUAGCACAACUACUCUGCGGUAUCCAGGAUAUAUGAACAAUGACUUGGUUGGUCUUCUUGCAUCUUUAAUUCCAACACCAAGAUGCCAUUUUCUUAUGACUGGAUAUACACCACUCACAGUGGAGCGUCAGGCUAAUGUGAUUCGUAAAACUACUGUACUGGAUGUUAUGAGAAGACUUCUGCAGACCAAGAAUAUCAUGGUUUCCUCUUAUGCACGAACAAAAGAAGCUAGUCAAGCAAAAUACAUUUCGAUAUUGAAUAUUAUUCAGGGAGAAGUCGACCCUACUCAGGUUCAUGAAAGUUUGCAGAGGAUUCGUGAAAGGAAGCUUGUUAACUUUAUUGAGUGGGGCCCUGCAAGUAUACAGGUUGCUUUGUCUAGAAAGUCUCCUUAUGUUCAAACUGCGCACAGGGUAAGUGGUCUCAUGCUAGCAAGCCACACUAGCAUCCGCCACCUCUUCAGCAAAUGUUUGAGCCAGUAUGAGAAGCUGAGAAAAAAGCAAGCUUUUCUUGAUAACUAUCGAAAAUUUCCGAUGUUUGCUGACAAUGAUCUUUCUGAAUUCGAUGAAUCACGGGACAUAAUUGAGAGUUUAGUUGAUGAAUACAAAGCCUGUGAGUCCCCAGAUUACAUAAAAUGGGGAAUGGAGGAUCCGGACAACCUUUUAACAGAAGAAGGUAAUGCUAAAGGAACAGUGGAUCCAAAAUUGGCAAUUUGAAUUACCAAGCUGUAAAAUAGAACCUUUAUGAAUGUUUAUGCAAAAAAGAUUGGAAGGUCCUGUUAGCUUGUGGUAGUUUCACAUUGAAUUGUAGUUAUGAUGCUGAAAGCACAGUUGAAAACUCAUUGUAAGUAAAUAUGACAAAUUUAUGGUUUGAGAUCUUUUUUUUUUUUGGGUGUGAAGAUUGGUGAUUUCGUGGUGUGUGGAUUGCUUGGGUAUUUGAUUUUGUUAGUCUUCAAAAAAAGAAAAGGAAUCCCAACCCACACCUUGCAGAUUUUGAGUUUUGUUGGAUCAGAUUUUUCAUAAUCUUUCAAUUAUUACUAAAUUUCCUGGAAUCUAGAGGACAGAGACUACAUUUGCAGUCAGAUAAUGAGAUUUCCUGCUUGGAUGUCUUUGAUUUCCUGCUUGGAUGUCUUUGAUGCUUUGCAGGUUUUAAUUCUAUUCGGGACUAAAUUUGUAGUAUUGACAAGUAAAAUUAUUUUCGUGAUUUAUCACACCCUUUUUUGUGUAA